AUGGAGUUUUACCUGCGUGGCUGUGGGUGCUGAGGAGCAGCAGACCUGAACAGCAUAUACGAGGAACGAUGCACAAAGCCUGCAAGUGACUUUUCUGUCACUUCUAAUGGUUUUCUUGUGGCUGUGGAAGAAGAUUUAAUUUCAUAGGGGAUGGAAAAGGCACAGAACUAUGCACAGAAAACGCACUUCUGAUCUGCGAGGUACAGCCCCAGAGAUCUGCCCCCGAAAGCGAAGUCCUUCUGUCAGUACGCAGCACUCUCAGAGCUUACAGCUGUUAUCAGCACAUGUUUGCCAGCAUAUUCUCAACAGGCCACAGAGCACACAGGCUUGAAGUUAUUGGAAUACCUCACCCUUAACUCUAAAACCAGGAUAUUUACCUGGGGUUCUCGGAACACCUCAUAGACUUUUGGCUAGCUCUUCUCUGGGGCUUGUUCAUUUUUGGUGUUAAAAGGUCUUAGUGCUUUAAUGUAACCAGAAAUGUUGCUAAUGUUCAUAAAAAUCUGCUCCCAUUUCAAAAUGCAGCCAGGGGACUGCCUGCUGGAUUGAAUUCACUGGAUGAAUUUCAUGCUACUUGAGACAUAAUGAUUCCUCAGAGAGAUGCAUCAAUGUGCCAGUUGGUAUAAACUCUAUGGGUUUUGAAGCA